rnacentral:lncRNA from 1 species
UAAUUAAUUGUAUAUUUUUUGCAAUAUUAAAUAACAUGGCUAAUUAAUAUUACCGUGCGAACCAAACACAGAAAUUCCACAUUCUUAGUAAUAGAAUGAAUAGGAAUAAAAUUCUCGGAUAUCUUUUAUUCCUAGUAAUCUUUCAUAAUGCGAACCAAACGCACCCUAGGGUGCGUUUGGUUCGUGCUAUCUUUUAAAAAUUUCUAAUAAUCCAAUGGGAAUAAAAAAAUAUGACGGUGUUUGGCUAACGCACUAAGUAAUCUAGUUGGUAAUAUUGGAUUCACUUAGGAAUAUGAUUCACCCUAAAUACUAAUCUCAUUCCCUUGAGGAAGGGUGGAUAUCCUCAUAUUAAUGGAUUGGGGUAAUCAUAAUAUGUCUAAUAUCUUUCUUUCUUCCUACCCGCCGGCUAAUUGAUAUUAUUUUUCUUUACAUUCUAACCUUAUAUCUCUCUCUAAACUUAUUUUUCUCUCUAAAAUUCAACUUUUUUUUCUCUCUCUAAACUAAGCUUUCUCUCUCUCUCUCUC